GAUGAACGCUGGCGGCGUGCCUAAUACAUGCAAGUCGAGCGAACGGACGAGAAGCUUGCUUCUCUGAUGUUAGCGGCGGACGGGUGAGUAACACGUGGAUAACCUACCUAUAAGACUGGGAUAACUUCGGGAAACCGGAGCUAAUACCGGAUAAUAUUUUGAACCGCAUGGUUCAAAAGUGAAAGACGGUCUUGCUGUCACUUAUAGAUGGAUCCGCGCUGCAUUAGCUAGUUGGUAAGGUAACGGCUUACCAAGGCAACGAUGCAUAGCCGACCUGAGAGGGUGAUCGGCCACACUGGAACUGAGACACGGUCCAGACUCCUACGGGAGGCAGCAGUAGGGAAUCUUCCGCAAUGGGCGAAAGCCUGACGGAGCAACGCCGCGUGAGUGAUGAAGGUCUUCGGAUCGUAAAACUCUGUUAUUAGGGAAGAACAUAUGUGUAAGUAACUGUGCACAUCUUGACGGUACCUAAUCAGAAAGCCACGGCUAACUACGUGCCAGCAGCCGCGGUAAUACGUAGGUGGCAAGCGUUAUCCGGAAUUAUUGGGCGUAAAGCGCGCGUAGGCGGUUUUUUAAGUCUGAUGUGAAAGCCCACGGCUCAACCGUGGAGGGUCAUUGGAAACUGGAAAACUUGAGUGCAGAAGAGGAAAGUGGAAUUCCAUGUGUAGCGGUGAAAUGCGCAGAGAUAUGGAGGAACACCAGUGGCGAAGGCGACUUUCUGGUCUGUAACUGACGCUGAUGUGCGAAAGCGUGGGGAUCAAACAGGAUUAGAUACCCUGGUAGUCCACGCCGUAAACGAUGAGUGCUAAGUGUUAGGGGGUUUCCGCCCCUUAGUGCUGCAGCUAACGCAUUAAGCACUCCGCCUGGGGAGUACGACCGCAAGGUUGAAACUCAAAGGAAUUGACGGGGACCCGCACAAGCGGUGGAGCAUGUGGUUUAAUUCGAAGCAACGCGAAGAACCUUACCAAAUCUUGACAUCCUUUGACAACUCUAGAGAUAGAGCUUUCCCCUUCGGGGGACAAAGUGACAGGUGGUGCAUGGUUGUCGUCAGCUCGUGUCGUGAGAUGUUGGGUUAAGUCCCGCAACGAGCGCAACCCUUAAGCUUAGUUGCCAUCAUUAAGUUGGGCACUCUAAGUUGACUGCCGGUGACAAACCGGAGGAAGGUGGGGAUGACGUCAAAUCAUCAUGCCCCUUAUGAUUUGGGCUACACACGUGCUACAAUGGACAAUACAAAGGGCAGCGAAACCGCGAGGUCAAGCAAAUCCCAUAAAGUUGUUCUCAGUUCGGAUUGUAGUCUGCAACUCGACUACAUGAAGCUGGAAUCGCUAGUAAUCGUAGAUCAGCAUGCUACGGUGAAUACGUUCCCGGGUC
rnacentral:rRNA from 1 species